rnacentral:rRNA from 1 species
AGUCGAGCGGAUGAAGGGAGCUUGCUCUCUGAUUCAGCGGCGGACGGGUGAGUAAUGCCUAGGAAUCUGCCUGAUAGUGGGGGACAACGUUUCGAAAGGAACGCUAAUACCGCAUACGUCCUACGGGAGAAAGCAGGGGACCUUCGGGCCUUGCGCUAUCAGAUGAGCCUAGGUCGGAUUAGCUAGUUGGUGAGGUAACGGCUCACCAAGGCGACGAUCCGUAACUGGUCUGAGAGGAUGAUCAGUCACACUGGAACUGAGACACGGUCCAGACUCCUACGGGAGGCAGCAGUGGGGAAUAUUGGACAAUGGGCGAAAGCCUGAUCCAGCCAUGCCGCGUGUGUGAAGAAGGUCUUCGGAUUGUAAAGCACUUUAAGUUGGGAGGAAGGGCAUUAACCUAAUACGUUAGUGUUUUGACGUUACCGACAGAAUAAGCACCGGCUAACUUCGUGCCAGCAGCCGCGGUAAUACGAAGGGUGCAAGCGUUAAUCGGAAUUACUGGGCGUAAAGCGCGCGUAGGUGGUUUGUUAAGUUGAAUGUGAAAGCCCCGGGCUCAACCUGGGAACUGCAUCCAAAACUGGCAAGCUAGAGUAUGGCAGA